rnacentral:lncRNA from 10 species
GUUAUGUUAUGUCUGCCCUCCUCUGAUGCUUGGGAAAUCGUUUGUUCUGUGGGCUUCUCCUGAGGAGAUGGACGAUUUUCAGAGCUUGCAGAAAGGCCCGUGAGAAGAGCAGGGGAGGUAUAGUCAUUUCCCUUGUUUUACGGCAGAGGAAACUGAAGAUAAAGCUAUGAAGUGAAGCUGGCUAGUGGCUGCCUCAGGGUUACUACUGAUAUCACUGGACCCCUUCAGAACCAAGCAUGAAUGAAGUUAUUGUCUCCCUGUCCCCUGGCUCCAAGUGCAUUGCAUCAUGAAAGGAAACUGUCACUCUUUUCAGCAUUGGCUGUUCUGACUUGGUAUUUUACUGCAUGGUGAUCUGAUGCUGUUGGGGAGACAGGCAUGUGGAGCAUUUUAAGCCACGAAGGAAGGUAUGUGAACUAAAUCCACAACUCACCUCUUAGGAACAACUGCCUGAGGAUAGGGUUCUUUCAGAAAACAUAAGCUCUGGUGACAAAUUC